rnacentral:rRNA from 1 species
AGUGAACGCUGGCGGUAGGCCUAACACAUGCAAGUCGAACGGCAGCACAGUAAGAGCUUGCUCUUACGGGUGGCGAGUGGCGGACGGGUGAGGAAUACAUCGGAAUCUACUUUUUCGUGGGGGAUAACGUAGGGAAACUUACGCUAAUACCGCAUACGACCUACGGGUGAAAGCAGGGGAUCUUCGGACCUUGCGCGAUUGAAUGAGCCGAUGUCGGAUUAGCUAGUUGGCGGGGUAAAGGCCCACCAAGGCGACGAUCCGUAGCUGGUCUGAGAGGAUGGUCAGCCACACUGGAACUGAGACACGGACCAGACUACUACGGGAGGCAGCAGUGGGGAAUAUUGGACAAUGGGCGCAAGCCUGAUCCAGCCAUACCGCGUGGGUGAAGAAGGCCUUCGGGUUGUAAAGCCCUUUUGUUGGGAAAGAAAAGCAGCAGGUUAAUACCCCGCUGUUCUGACGGUACCCAAAGAAUAAGCACCGGCUAACUUCGUG